rnacentral:misc_RNA from 1 species
GAUGAAGAACGUAGCGAAAUGCGAUACGUAAUGUGAAUUGCAAAUUCAGUGAAUCAUCGAGUCUUUGAACGCACAUUGCGCCCCCUGGUAUUCCGGGGGGCAUGCCUGUCCGAGCGUCAUUGCUGCCCUCAAGCACGGCUUGUGUGUUGGGCCCCGUCCUCCGAUCCCGGGGGACGGGCCCGAAAGGCAGCGGCGGCACCGCGUCCGGUCCUCGAGCGUAUGGGGCUUUGUCACCCGCUCUGUAGNNNNGGCCGGCGCUUGCCGAUCAACCCAAAUUUUUAUCCAGGUUGACCUCGGAUCAGGUAGGGAUACCCGCUGAACUUAAGCAUAUCAAUAAGCGGAGGA